UACGGAGGGGGCAAGCGUUGUUCGGAAUUACUGGGCGUAAAGGGCGCGCAGGCGGCUGCUCAAGUCAGGCGUGAAAGGCCUGGGCUCAACCCGGGAAUUGCGCUUGAGACUGGGCUGGCUUGAGUGCGGGAGAGGAUGGUGGAAUUCCCAGUGUAGAGGUGAAAUUCGUAGAUAUUGGGAAGAACACCAAUGGCGAAAGCAGCUUUCUGGGACGGUACUGACGCUGAGACGCGAAAGCGUGGGGAGCGAACAGG
rnacentral:rRNA from 1 species